rnacentral:rRNA from 1 species
UUCGCAAUGCCCGAAAGGGUGACGAAGCGACGCCGCGUGUGGGAAGAAGGCCUUCGGGUUGUAAACCACUGUCGGGAGUUAAGAAAUGCAAGGAUAUGAAUAGUGUCUUUGCUUGACUAAGGCUCCGGAGGAAGCCACGGCUAACUCUGUGCCAGCAGCCGCGGUAAUACAGAGGCGGCAAGCGUUGUUCGGAAUUAUUGGGCGUAAAGAGCACGUAGGCGGCUAUGUAAGUCGGUUGUGAAAGCCUUCCGCUCAACGGAAGAACAGCAUCCGAUACUACAUGGCUUGAGUGCGGGAGGGGAGAGUGGAACUUCUGGUGGAGCGGUGAAAUGCGUAGAUAUCAGAAGGAACGCCGGCGGCGAAAGCGGCUCUCUGGCCCAUAACUGACGCUGAGUGUGCGAAAGCUAGGGGAGCAAACGGGAUUAGAUACCCCGGUAGUCCUAGCCGUAAACGAUGGGCACUAAGUAGAGGGGUUUU